CCUCCCACCCUUGUCUCUCUACACCUGUUGCUUUGGCGGGCCCACUGGGGCUCCCUGGUCGCCGGGGGACCACGCCCGCCGGAGGUUCACCGCCGGAGGUUCAAACUCUUAUUUUUUUCAGUAUCUCUGAGCCUAAAAGACAAAUAAUCAAAACUUUCAACAACGGAUCUCUUGGUUCUGGCAUCGAUGAAGAACGCAGCGAAAUGCGAUAAGUAAUGUGAAUUGCAGAAUUCAGUGAAUCAUCGAAUCUUUGAACGCACAUUGCGCCCGCCGGUAUUCCGGCGGGCAUGCCUGUUCGAGCGUCAUUUCAACCCUCAAGCCUCGGCUUGGUGUUGGGGCGCCCGGGCCCUCCGCGGCCCGGGGCCCCCAAGUUCAUCGGCGGGCUCGUCGGUACACUGAGCGCAGUAAAACGCGGUAAAACGCGAACCUCGUUCGGAUCCGGGAGGGACCUGCGGGGGUUGGUCACCACCACAUUUUCUAUUAUGGUUGACCUCGGAUCAGGUAGGAGUUACCCGCUGAACUUAAGCAUA
rnacentral:rRNA from 1 species